rnacentral:misc_RNA from 1 species
AACAAGGCGUACCUGCGGACCUGCGGAGGGAUCAUUACCAGAGUGCCUUCAGGCUCUCCAACCCACUGUGAACAUACCUACGUUCCCCCGGCGGGCUCAGCGCGCGGCGGCUCCGGCCGCCCGCGUCCGCCGAGGGCAUCUCAAACCCGAAUUUAUUCGUGUCUUCUGAGGGGCGAAAGCCCGUAAAACAAAAUGAAUCAAAACUUUCAGCAAUGGAUCU